GGGAGAUACAAGUUUCUGACCUGGAUCUUUGCAUGGAAAUCUUGAGGCACAGUGGGUAUGAAUUCCAGAAGACUAAGACAGGGAGAUCUCUGAGUUCAAGGUCAUCUGGGACAAAGCAAGUCCCAGAUCCAGGCAUGGUGGCACAGACCUGUAAUCAGGGCCACACCUUCUGCUGGAGACCUAUAUAAGGACAUUGGAAGAAGGAAGAUUUGCUCUCUUCUUUGCCUGCUUGCCUUGUGAGACUGAACAACUGCUAGCUCCUUGGACUUCCAUUCACAGCUGCUGCUGCUGCUGCUGACCAUUGUUGGGGAGUUGGACUACAGACUUUACUCUGAGAAGAAAAUAUAGCACCUUAUCGUCCUGCCACCAGCACUCAGAGGAGCAGGAUCAGACCCUGCACUUGCCUAGCAGCACAGUAGGGCUGGUCCAGGUGGCAUAGGGGAGGGUGAGCCAGCCCCAAAGGCAUAAAAGCAGGAGAUCUGGCCUUGCCACUUGCUGGCUGCAGCUUUGGGUGAGCUAGCCGGGGCAGUGCUGGAGAGCUCACCCUGGUGGUAUGGAUGUGGGAAAGUUGGAGGGCUGACCAGCUCAGCCACCUCCCAUGCCCAGAUCCAGGGCUUUGAGCUAGCCCACCCCAACAUCUAUCUCCUCAUCUAUGAACUGCUGAACAGUGUGGAAGGCUGGUCCUGCAGACCCAAAGCUGCAAAAUCUCCAAGGGACAGGGCAACAACAGGAUAACCAAGAGUCCGGAUGAAGAUCCAGUAUCGAUGUAGGAGAAGCCAGAGGCCUCGAACCAGACCAAUGACUCGUGGCUAGGAACCUCUGCAAGUAAAGAUGUGUGGACAGAGGGGAAUGCUGUGCAUCACCAAAGCUUCCACCGUGAGAGUUUUGUUUUGUUUUGUUU
rnacentral:lncRNA from 1 species